UGGACUAAUCGAGCAGUCCUUAUUUAUAAUUGAAGACCACUGGUGACUGUGGACUAAUCGAGCAGUCCUUAUUUAUAAUUGAAGACCAUGGGUGACUGUGGACUAAUCGAACAGUCCUUAUUUAUAAUUGAAGACCACUGGUGACUGUGGACUAAUCGAGCAGUCCUUAUUUAUAAUUGAAGACCACGGGUGACUGUGGACUAAUCGAGCAGUCCUUAUUUAUAAUUGAAGACCAUGGGUGACUGUGGACUAAUCGAGCAGUCCUUAUUUAUAAUUGAAGACCAUGGGUGACUGUGGACUAAUCGAACAGUCCUUAUUUAUAAUUGAAGACCAUGGGUGACUGCGGACUAAUCGAACAGUCCUUAUUUAUAAUUGAAGACCAUGGGUGACUGCGGACCAAUCAAACAGUCCUUAUUUAUAAUUGAAGACCAUAGGUGACUGUGGACUAAUCGAGCAGUCCUUAUUUAUAAUUGAAGACCAUGGGUGACUGUGGACUAAUCGAGCAGUCCUUAUUUAUAAUUGAAGACCAUGGGUGACUGUGGACUAAUCGAACAGUCCUUAUUUAUAAUUGAAGACCAUGGGUGACUGUGGACUAAUCGAGCAGUCCUUAUUUAUAAUUGAAGACCACUGGUGACUGUGGACUAAUCGAGCAGUCCUUAUUUAUAAUUGAAGACCAUGGGUGACUGUGGACUAAUCGAGCAGUCCUUAUUUAUAAUUGAAGACCACGGGUGACUGUGGACUAAUCGAGCAGUCCUUAUUUAUAAUUGAAGACCACGGGUGACUGUGGACUAAUCGAGCAGUCCUUAUUUAUAAUUGAAGACCACGGGUGACUGUGGACUAAUCGAGCAGUCCUUAUUUAUAAUUGAAGACCAUGGGUGACUGUGGACUAAUCGAGCAGUCCUUAUUUAUAAUUGAAGACCAUGGGUGACUGCGGACUAAUCGAGCAGUCCUUAUUUAUAAUUGAAGACCAUGGGUGACUGUGGACUAAUCGAGCAGUCCUUAUUUAUAAUUGAAGACCAUGGGUGACUGUGGACUAAUCGAGCAGUCCUUAUUUAUAAUUGAAGACCAUGGGUGACUGUGGACUAAUCGAGCAGUCCUUAUUUAUAAUUGAAGACCAUGGGUGACUGUGGACUAAUCGAGCAGUCCUUAUUUAUAAUUGAAGACCAUGGGUGACUGUGGACUAAUCGAGCAGUCCUUAUUUAUAAUUGAAGACCAUGGGUGACUGUGGACUAAUCGAGCAGUCCUUAUUUAUAAUUGAAGACCAUGGGUGACUGUGGACUAAUCGAGCAGUCCUUAUUUAUAAUUGAAGACGUGUGGCGUUUUCUAGCGUCGUCUGUCAUGCUUUUUUGAGUUCUGCGUUGUUUUUCAAAUAUGUGUACAUAGAACGUGGACGCGUAUACAGGGUCUACGUCUGAGAAAUGCUUUUGAGAUGAAACGUCUAAACUGUCUCUUAAAUAUUUACAUUUAAUUUGAUUUAAAAUGGAGCUUUCUAAAUGUAUUUUGUGAAAACUAUAUAAAAAAAAAACAUUUUGUACAGUAAAUAUAGUGAAAGCUU